rnacentral:lncRNA from 1 species
UAGCAUAUGGGCAAAGUUAUUACUAAUUCCCAUAUAAAGACAUGAAAACUCUAAUAGGUGUUUGGCAGAGCCACUAACCUUCUAGGAUCCCACAUUCUGGGAUCCUGACCCAGCCAGUGGUAGCCUCUGAGUAAGAAGAGCAGGAAGAGGAAUAGUUGGACUUGCAGCACAAGUCAUACAAAAUUUUAAAAUUUUUUCCUAGGGUUUUUUCCUCCCUCAUUUGGCUUCAGAAUCAAGACUGAAUGUAUUGCUAAUGCCCAGAGAAGUGGAGAAGUAGGUCAUCUCUGUCGCCAGCUUAAAGUCUCCA